rnacentral:rRNA from 1 species
UGGGGAAUUUUGCGCAAUGGGCGAAAGCCUGACGCAGCGACGCCGCGUGCGGGAUGAAGGCUUUCGGGUCGUAAACCGCUGUCGCGAGGGACGAACAACCUUGGGAUGAAUAAGCCCAGGGCCUGACGGUACCUCGUGAGAAAGCCCCGGCUAACUACGUGCCAGCAGCCGCGGUAAUACGUAGGGGGCAAGCGUUGUUCGGAAUUACUGGGCGUAAAGGGUCCGCAGGCGGCCAUGCAAGUUGAGGGUGAAAUCCCCGAGCUCAACUCGGGAAUUGCCUUCAAAACUGCGUGGCUUGAGUCCGGUAGAGGGAGAUGGAAUUCUCGGUGUAGCGGUGAAAUGCGUAGAUAUCGAGAGGAACACCAGCGGCAAAGGCGAUCUUCUGGACCGGUACUGACGCUGAGGGACGAAAGCGUGGGGAGCAAACAGG